rnacentral:tRNA from 1 species
GGUUCCGUAGUGUAGUGGUUAUCACGUUCGCUUCACACGCGAAAGGUCUCCGCUUCGGGAUCCCGACAGAACCA